UACGUAGGGUGCAAGCGUUGUCCGGAAUUAUUGGGCGUAAAGCGCGCGCAGGCGGUUAUUUAAGUCUGGUGUUUAAACCUUGGGCUCAACCUGGGGUCGCACUGGAAACUGGGUAACUUGAGUACAGAAGAGGAAAGUGGAAUUCCACGUGUAGCGGUGAAAUGCGUAGAGAUGUGGAGGAACACCAGUGGCGAAGGCGACUUUCUGGGCUGUAACUGACGCUGAGGCGCGAAAGCGUGGGGAGCAAACAGG
rnacentral:rRNA from 1 species